AUACGUAGGGUGCGAGCGUUGUCCGGAAUUACUGGGCGUAAAGAGCUCGUAGGUGGUUUGUCGCGUCGUCUGUGAAAUUCCGGGGCUUAACUCCGGGCGUGCAGGCGAUACGGGCAUAACUUGAGUACUGUAGGGGAGACUGGAAUUCCUGGUGUAGCGGUGAAAUGCGCAGAUAUCAGGAGGAACACCGGUGGCGAAGGCGGGUCUCUGGGCAGUAACGGACGCUGAGGAGCUAAAGCAUGGGUAGCGAACAGGAUUAGAUACCCUGGUAGUCCAUGCCGUAAACGGUGGGCGCUAGGUGUAGGGGUCUUCCACGACUUCUGUGCCGUAGCUAACGCAUUAAGCGCCCCGCCUGGGGAGUACGGCCGCAAGGCUAAAACUCAAAGGAAUUGACGGGG
rnacentral:rRNA from 1 species